AUGAAGAUGCGAUGGAGAUCGAUUAUUGCUGUUAUUGAGAAACGCUCGAGGAUGAAGAUGUGUAGCAGAUUGAUGCGCAGAAGAUUAUUGAAGAUUGGUUUAGAGGGAGAGAGAGAGAGAGUAAUUUUCCAUGAUUCUUCCAAGAGAUUGAAGAAUGAAAUGAAUCAAGGUUGGUUACGAAUUAAAACAAGGGCAGGAGGUUAA